AUGCAUGUAUUUUGUCUGACAUUUUUUUUUGUUGGGGGUAUUUGGGUAUGGUAUUGGAAUACAUCUUUUGCAAUUUGAGGAUCUGGAAAACAUGCCCAACUGACUGCAUAUAGGCCACAUACUCAAUCAGUAAAUAGCAAAGAUCUCUAAUGCGUACAGUGUUGACGAUGACGCAAGUGGGAUUUGACUUCAUGAUUAAUUAUUAUAAAGAUUAUGAAAGUUUUUGUGCCAAAAUUAUAUUCAAACAUGUACAUCACCUGGCAACGUUACCUGAACAAAAGCUUAACUUACUCUGAUGUGAAAGAAAGAAUGGUUGCAUGUACAUAUAUUGUAUGAAUCAUGGAUGAAAUUGAGAAGA